UACGUAGGGUGCGAGCGUUGUCCGGAAUUAUUGGGCGUAAAGGGCUCGUAGGCGGUCUGUUGCGUCGGGAGUGAAAAUUCAGGGCUUAACCCUGAGCCUGCUUCCGAUACGGGCAGACUAGAGGUAUGCAGGGGAGAACGGAAUUCCUGGUGUAGCGGUGAAAUGCGCAGAUAUCAGGAGGAACACCGGUGGCGAAGGCGGCACGCUGGAUCCUCUCUGACGCUGAGGCGCGAAAGCGUGGGGAGCGAACAGG
rnacentral:rRNA from 1 species